rnacentral:rRNA from 1 species
GUUCNCCGCCAUUAAAGACCUAGUAAUAGGUAUGCUUUAGGAGGGGCUUGCGCCAUAUUAGUUAGUUGGUAGGGUAACGGCCUACCAAGACGAUGAUGUGUAGCUGGACUGAGAGGUUGAACAGCCACAUUGGGACUGAGACACGGCCCAAACUCCUACGGGAGGCAGCAGUAGGGAAUUUUCGGCAAUGGAGGAAACUCUGACCGAGCAACGCCGCGUGAAUGAUGAAGUACUUCGGUAUGUAAAAUUCUUUUAUCAAGGAAGAAAAGCAAGUGGUGAACCAUUUGUUUGCCGGUACUUGAUGAAUAAGCCCCGGCUAAUUAUGUGCCAGCAGCCGCGGUAAGACAUAAGGGGCGAGUGUUAUCCGGAAUUAUUGGGCGUAAAGGGUGCGUAGGCGGUAUAGUAAGUCAGUGGUGUAAUGGCAACGCUUAACGUUGUCCGGCUAUUGAAACUGCUACACUUGAGUUAGAUAGAGGCGAGUGGAAUUCCAUGUGUAGCGGUAAAAUGCGUAAAUAUAUGGAGGAACACCAGAGGCGUAGGCGGCUCGCUGGGUCUUAACUGACGCUGAGGCACGAAAGCGUGGGGAGCAAACAGGAUUAGAUACCCUGGUAGUCCACGCCGUAAACGAUGAGUACUAAGUGUCGGGUUAAACCGGUACUGAAGUUAACACAUUAAGUACUCCGCCUGAGUAGUACGUACGCAAGUAUGAAACUUAAAGGAAUUGACGGGACUCCGCACAAGCGGUGGAUCAUGUUGUUUAAUUCGAAGAUACCCGAAAAACCUUACCAGGUCUUGACAUGUUUUUGCGAAACAGUAGUAAUAUUGUGGAGGUUAUCAGAAACACAGGUGGUGCAUGGUUGUCGUCAGCUCGUGUCGUGAGAUGUUAGGUUAAGUCCUAAAACGAGCGAAACCCUUAUCGUUAGUUGCCAGCACGUUAUGGUGGGGGCUUUAACGAGACUGCCAAUGAUAAAUUUGGAGGAAGGUGAGGAUCACGUCAAAUCAGCAUGCCCCUUAUGACCUGGGCUACAAACGUGAUACAAUGGCUGUUACAAAGGGUAGCUGAAACGUAAGUUUUUGGCCAAUCCCCAAAAACAGUCCCAGUCCGGAUUGAAGUCUGCAACUCGACUUCAUGAAGUCGAAUCAGCUAGUAAUCUGCAUAAAAUU